rnacentral:rRNA from 1 species
GGCAAACGGGUGAGUAAUGCGUGGGUAACCUACCUUAAGGAGGAGGAUAGCUUCGCGAAAGCGGAGGUAAUACUCCAUAAUGUCAGUAAGUACUUCUUACUGAACAAAGAUGGCCUCUAUUUAUAAGCUGUCACCAUAAGAGGGGCCCACGUCCUAUCAGGUAGUUGGUGGGGUAAAGGCCUACCAAGCCAAAGACGGGUAGCUGGCGUAAGAGCGUGACCAGCCACAUCGGGACUGAGACACUGCCCGGACUCCUACGGGAGGCUGCAGUCGAGAAUCUUUCCCAAUGGACGAAAGUCUGAGGAUGCGACGUCGCGUGGGGGAUGAAGGCCUUCGGGUUGUAAACCCAUUUUAUUAGGGAGGAACAUCAAGAGGUGAAUAGCCUUUUGAUUUGACUUUACUUGAUGAAUAAGCCACGGCUAACUCCGUGCCAGCAGCCGCGGUAAUACGGAGGUGGCGAGCGUUACUCGGUUUGACUGGGUGUAAAGGGUCCGCAGGCGGCCAUACAAGUGACAGGUGAAAUCUUUCGGCUUAACCGAAAAACUGCCUUUCAAACUGUAUGGCUUGAGGAUGGAAGAGGAGAGUGGAACUGCCGGUGUAAAGGUGAAAUUUGUGGAUAUCGGUAGGAACGCCCGUGGAGAAGUCGGCUCUCUGGUCCAUAUCUGACGCUCAGGGACGAAAGCUAGGGGAGUGAACAGGAUUAGAUACCCUGGUAAUCCUAGCUGUAAACGAUGGG